rnacentral:sRNA from 1 species
AUGGCUGUCGUCAGCUCGUGUCGUGAGAUGUUGGGUUAAGUCCCGCAACGAGCGCAACCCUUGUCCUUAGUUGCCAGCACGUAAUGGUGGGAACUCUAAGGAGACUGCCGGUGACAAACCGGAGGAAGGUGGGGAUGACGUCAAGUCAUCAUGGCCCUUACGACCAGGGCUACACACGUACUACAAUGGGGGGUACAGAGGGUAGCGAAGCCGCGAGGUGAAGCCAAUCCCAGAAAACCCCUCUCAGUCCGGAUCGUAGUCUGCAACUCGACUACGUGAAGUCGGAAUCGCUAGUAAUCGCGAAUCAGCAUUGUCGCGGUGAAUACGUUCCCGGGCCUUGUACACACCGCCCGUCACACCAUGGGAGUUGGUUGCUCCAGAAGCAGGUAGUCUAACCGCAAGGGGGACGCUUGCCACGGAGUGGUCAAUGACUGGGGUGAAGUCGUAACAAGGUAGCCGUAUCGGAAGGUGCGGCUGGAUCACCUCCUUUCGAGAACGACAUGGAUUCAUUCCAUGGCGUCCACACAAGACACCUGCAUAUCCAGAAUUAGACGCAAGUCCCAACGGGGGCUGUAGCUCAGCUGGGAGAGCACCUGCUUUGCAAGCGGGGGGUCACCGGUUCGAUCCCGGUCAGCUCCACCAGAUCUAAGAUCUUUGGGUCUGUAGCUCAGGUGGUUAGAGCGCGCCCCUGAUAAGGGCGAGGUCGGUGGUUCGAGUCCUCCCAGACCCACCAAUGUGUUUAUUCUGGAUAACUGCGCACACAUAAAGAAUUUGAAGCGGUCAGGCGUUGAGGCCUGGCUGCGUUCUUUGACAAUUUGGGACGUAACAAGCGUCUGAACUUUCAUCAAGUUUAGAUGUGUCGUUGAGGCAAAUAGGCGAAGUAUGUUGAGCGUGUGAUCCGGAGGCGACUUCGGGUUAUAUGGUCAAGCGAAUAAGCGUCUACGGUGGAUGCCUUGGCGGUCAGAGGCGAAGAAGGACGUGGCAGCCUGCGAAAAGUCUCGGGAAGCUGGCAACAAGCUUUGAUCCGGGAAUGUCCGAAUGGGGAAACCCGG